rnacentral:rRNA from 1 species
CAUAUCAAUAAGCGGAGGAAAAGAAACCAACAGGGAUUGCCUCAGUAACGGCGAGUGAAGCGGCAACAGCUCAAAUUUGAAAUCUGGCCCCCCGGCCCGAGUUGUAAUUUGUAGAGGAUGCUUCUGGGCAGCGACCGGUCUAAGUUCCUUGGAACAGGACGUCAUAGAGGGUGAGAAUCCCGUAUGCGACCGGCCCGCGCCCUCCACGUAGCUCCUUCGACGAGUCGAGUUGUUUGGGAAUGCAGCUCUAAAUGGGAGGUAAAUUUCUUCUAAAGCUAAAUACCGGCCAGAGACCGAUAGCGCACAAGUAGAGUGAUCGAAAGAUGAAAAGCACUUUGGAAAGAGAGUUAAAAAGCACGUGAAAUUGUUGAAAGGGAAGCGCUUACAACCAGACUUCUGGGCGGUGUUCCGCCGGUCUUCUGACCGGUCCACUCGCCGCCCCGAGGCCAACAUCAUCUGGGACCGCCGGACAAGACCGCAGGAAUGUGGCUCCCCUCGGGGAGUGUUAUAGCCUGCGGUGAUGCGGCGCGUCCCGGGUGAGGUCCGCGCUCCGGCAAGGAUGUUGGCGUAAUGGUUGUCAGCGGCCCGUCUUGAAACACGGACCAAGGAGUCUAACAUCUAUGCGAGUGUUCGGGUGUCAAACCCCUACGCGGAAUGAAAGUGAACGGAGGUGGGAACUUUUUGUGCACCAUCGACCGAUCCUGAUGUCCUCGGAUGGAUUUGAGUAAGAGCAUAGCUGUUGGGACCCGAAAGAUGGUGAACUAUGCCUGAAUAGGGUGAAGCCAGAGGAAACUCUGGUGGAGGCUCGCAGCGGUUCUGACGUGCAAAUCGAUCGUCAAAUUUGGGUAUAGGGGCGAAAGACUAAUCGAACCAU